UGUCUAUUCCUUGAUACAUUGACACGUCUGUGUAUUGCUCCCCGUUCUGAUAGGUGUAUGUUUUUGUUGUAAUCGCCGUCACGUGAACGGUGUUGUCAGCCCUCACCUCUCUUCUUUUUACCAUACAUUCCUUGUAGACUUGUAGGGUUUCAUUCUGUUGAUGUUGUUGUUGUCCGUCUUGUUGUCGUGGAGGUGGUGGAGGUGGGCUAAUUAAGUGGCCACUUGAAAUGUGAAGUGGUGUUUGAAGUGCCUAUCGGCGACAUAAGCAUUUCUUUUAAAGUGGUGGGUGUGGUGUUAGUAAGAUUGACUGUCUGGGAUGGUUUUUUUGAAAUUGAAUUAUGAUAUUCUGGAAUAUUCUAGGUAUUGCCAGACUACCCUUCAACCAACGAGCAUCAAACAACUGGAUGGGGAUAAAAGUGAUUGGAGCCGCCUUGAUGAGUCCCAUUCAACUCCUGCCUGAAGAUCGUCUUCUUCUUCUUCUUCAAAACAAAGAUGCAAUUCAGCUGUGACUUAUGUCUUAAGACUACGACCGGCCUCCAGCCGUUCGUUGACCACGUCAAAUCAAAAGGACAUCGGAAGAACCUGGAGGCUGGUCGUCAGCCGGUUUAUAAAUGUAGCUGCGAUGACGAGUGGAUUGAUCUUGGGGCAAUGAAGGAUCACGUUACAACGUCCCGACACAUCAACAACUACCUUCAGAGGCUUAUCAACUUCUACGGGGUGUUGCCCAUUAACAGCGUGACGAAGAUGGCGCAAGCCCAGGCGGAGCUCCUGUGUUUAUAAUAAAAAGUUUAAAACCAA